CCUACGGGAGGCAGCAGUGGGGAAUAUUGCACAAUGGGGGAAACCCUGAUGCAGCAACGCCGCGUGAGCGAUGAAGGCCUUCGGGUCGUAAAGCUCUGUCCUAAGGGAAGAAUACUGACGGUACCUUAGGAGGAAGCCCCGGCUAACUACGUGCCAGCAGCCGCGGUAAUACGUAGGGGGCUAGCGUUAUCCGGAAUUACUGGGCGUAAAGGGUGCGUAGGCGGCCCUUCAAGUCAGAUGUGAAAGCCCGGGGCUCAACCCCGGGAUUGCAUUUGAAACUGUAGGGCUUGAGUGCAGGAGAGGAGAGCGGAAUUCCUAGUGUAGCGGUGAAAUGCGUAGAUAUUAGGAGGAACACCAGUGGCGAAGGCGGCUCUCUGGACUGCAACUGACGCUGAGGCACGAAAGCGUGGGGAGCGAACAGGAUUAGAUACCCGUGUAGUC
rnacentral:rRNA from 1 species